UACGUAGGGGGCAAGCGUUGUCCGGAAUCACUGGGCUUAAAGCGCGUGUAGGCGGGUCGUUAAGUGUCCGAGUGAAAUCCCACGGCUCAACCGUGGAACUGCCGGGCAUACUGGCGAUCUUGAGGCAUUCAGGGGCGAGCGGAACAAAUGGUGGAGCGGUGAAAUGCGUAGAUAUCAUUUGGAACGCCAAUGGUGAAAACAGCUCGCUGGGAAUGAUCUGACGCUGAGACGCGAAAGCCAGGGGAGCGAACGGG
rnacentral:rRNA from 1 species